rnacentral:misc_RNA from 1 species
AGCUGAAACCACCUAUGAUUUAUAGUUUAGAAAUAUUUGGUACAAUUUUUUUAUGCUGAUAAGACGUUUAAAUGUUAAGAUCGGACAUAAGAACGAUUGUGUAUAAUGGCUGUUUUUUUGUGCAUUAUUAGCGCUUAGUGCGCCUAAUGGUUGAUUUACGACUCAUUAAACAAUGUUGUAUUUAAUGCGCCACUUUAGGUUCAUUAUAACUACUUUGAGGUAUAAUGAGUAUGUAGAGUAGAGCACAUAACUAAGCUGA